UUUGAGGGGAAUGUUGUCUGGCUCGAGGACACUUUUCCUUGAUCUGUAUUUCUUAUAGAUCAACCUGUAUAUUUAUAUCUAGGUAUACAUAUAUAUGGCUUUUGGUGAAUUAGUGUCGUCGGACCAGGCUUCAUUCCCCCCAAU
rfam:Prunus persica cultivar Lovell chromosome G2, whole genome shotgun sequence.